rnacentral:lncRNA from 1 species
GCACACACCAUUUCACAGAUAUGAUAACGGUAACGGCCACUUUCAUCAGGUCGGAGAUGUUUAGAAUGACCGGAAAUCACAGAUCUCUCUCUCUCGGAACGACCUAAAAGAACCACUACGGCGGCCGGACUUGAAUCAACCUCCGAUUAUCUUUCUCUCUCUUGGAACGACCAAGAACUGUGACGGCCGGAGACUCGUUGAUAACUCUGUUGAUUUCUAUUAGAUUUAGCCUAAUUC